CUGGUCGUAGUGUAGUAGCCAACACACUUGCCUUGGGAGCAAGGGAUCGUGGGUGCGAGUCCCACCGACCAGACCA
rnacentral:tRNA from 1 species